UAAUUUUUAAUUUAAUUAAAAUAUUUCAUUUACAAUGAAAAAAUAAUAAAUAAAUAUUAAAAUUAA
rnacentral:tRNA from 1 species